AUAGAUACCCGGUAGUCCUAGCCGUAAACGAUGUAUACUUGGUGUAGACGGAUUCAACCCUGUCUUUGCCGUAGCUAACGCGAUAAGUAUACCGCCUGGGGAGUACGCUCGCAAGGGUGAAACUCAAAAGAAUUGACGGGGACCCGCACAAGCAGUGGAGCAUGUGGUUUAAUUCGAUGCAACGCGAAGAACCUUACCCAGACUUGACAUAUAGUGGACCGCUCUAGAAAUAGAGCUUUCCUUCGGGACCGCUAAACAGGUGCUGCAUGGCUGUCGUCAGCUCGUGCCGUGAGGUGUUGGGUUAAGUCCCGCAACGAGCGCAACCCUUAUCGUUAGUUGCCAACACGUAAUGGUGGGAACUCUAGCGAGACUGCCUGGGUUAACCAGGAGGAAGGUGAGGAUGAUGUCAAGUCCGCAUGGCCCUUAUGUCUGGGGCUACACACGUGCUACAAUGGCCGGUACAGAAGGUGGCGAAGCCGCGAGGUGAAGCAAAUCCGCGAAAACCGGUCCCAGUUCAGAUUGGAGU
rnacentral:rRNA from 1 species